UACGUAGGGGGCUAGCGUUGUCCGGAAUCAUUGGGCGUAAAGAGCGUGUAGGCGGCCCGGUAAGUCCGCUGUAAAAGUCAAAGGCUCAACCUUUGAAUGUCAGUGGAUACUGCCGGGCUAGAGUCCGGAAGAGGAGAGUGGAAUUCCCGGUGUAGCGGUGAAAUGCGCAGAUAUCGGGAGGAACACCAAUGGCGAAGGCAGCUCGCUGGGACGGUACUGACGCUGAGACGCGAAAGCGUGGGGAGCAAACAGG
rnacentral:rRNA from 1 species